rnacentral:rRNA from 1 species
CCUACGGGAGGCAGCAGUGAGGAAUAUUGGUCAAUGGCCGAGAGGCUGAACCAGCCAAGUCGCGUGAGGGAAGACGGCCCUACGGGUUGUAAACCUCUUUUGUCGGGGAGCAAAGCGAGUCACGUGUGACUCAUUGAGAGUACCCGAAGAAAAAGCAUCGGCUAACUCCGUGCCAGCAGCCGCGGUAAUACGGAGGAUGCGAGCGUUAUCCGGAUUUAUUGGGUUUAAAGGGUGCGCAGGCGGUCUGUUAAGUCAGCGGUCAAAGCCCGGGGCUCAACCCCGGCCCGCCGUUGAAACUGGCAGUCUCGAGUUGGAGAGAAGUAUGCGGAAUGCGCGGUGUAGCGGUGAAAUGCAUAGAUAUCGCGCAGAACUCCGAUUGCGAAGGCAGCAUGCCGGCUCCACACUGACGCUGAGGCACGAAAGCGUGGGUAUCGAACAGGAUUAGAUACCCUUGUAGUC